AGUGAACGCUGGCGGUAGGCCUAACACAUGCAAGUCGAACGGCAGCACAGUAAGAGCUUGCUCUUACGGGUGGCGAGUGGCGGACGGGUGAGGAAUACAUCGGAAUCUACUUUUUCGUGGGGGAUAACGUAGGGAAACUUACGCUAAUACCGCAUACGACCUACGGGUGAAAGCAGGGGAUCUUCGGACCUUGCGCGAUUGAAUGAGCCGAUGUCGGAUUAGCUAGUUGGCGGGGUAAGGGCCCACCAAGGCGACGAUCCGUAGCUGGGCUGAGAGGAUGAUCAGCCACACUGGAACUGAGACACGGUCCAGACUCCUACGGGAGGCAGCAGUGGGGAAUAUUGGACAAUGGGCGCAAGCCUGAUCCAGCCAUACCGCGUGGGUGAAGAAGGCCUUCGGGUUGUAAAGCCCUUUUGUUGGGAAAGAAAAGCAGCAGGUUAAUACCCCGCUGUUCUGACGGUACCCAAAGAAUAAGCACCGGCUAACUUCGUG
rnacentral:rRNA from 1 species